rnacentral:rRNA from 1 species
CCUACGGGAGGCAGCAGUGGGGAAUAUUGGGCAAUGGGCGCAAGCCUGACCCAGCAACGCCGCGGGAAGGAAGAAGGCUUUCGGGUUGUAAACUGCUUGUCUGAGGGACGAAGAAAGUGACGGUACCUCAGGAAUAAGCCACGGCGAACUACGUGCCAGCAGCCGCGGGAAUACGUAGGUGGCAAGCGUUAGCCGGAAUUAUUGGGGGGAAAGGGCGUGGAGGCGGGAAAGCCAUUCAGAUGUGAAAAAUCCGGGCUCAACCCUUAGCCAGCCUUUGAAACUGUUUUUCUUUCGUGCUGGGGAGGCACUCCGCAUUCCGUGUGUAGCGGUGCAAUGCGUAGCUAUAC